CGGGAGCAGGGGAGGAGGGCGCCCCGACAGGUGAGCGGCCCAGGACAGGACCAGGAGCCCGUCACGCCCGAGCGCCACUCUGCCGGGCCCGGCUUUGGGAGGCCACGCAGCUAACGGGGGGGUUAAGGGUUCCCGUUACUUUGGUCGUGGUCACCUUGUUUUCCCCUCAUUUUACACAGGUGUAGAGGACGACAUGACGGACACAAGAGUAGCAAGGAAAAGAAAAAAGGGAUAGAAGUAAGUGGACGAAAAAGACACUGGAAACGGUGGUGAAAGGACGUCUCAGUUUCUCACUGCCCCGUUGUCAUAGGGGCCCUGGCAAAUGCCAGACCUCAGCUGCGGAUCUGCAGUCGUGAGCCGCUCGGGGGCAGACAGCAAGGUACCUACCAGGCUUGGGCUCGGCCCUCUCCAUCCCUCUGCGCCGGAGCCGCUCCUGGUAGAUCUGCGUGCCCGUCAUGAGCUGGUACCGCGGGGGCUCGGCGCUGGGGUCCCUCGGCACCAGCCGCAGGUCCUGCUCGGCCAUGAGCCUGAUCACGUUCGCUCGGUGCAUGGGGCCCAGGUCGUUGCCCUUCUCGUCCAGCACCUGAAUGAUGCGCUCGUUAAUUUUUCUUCCAACGUUACGAAAAGCUGUUUCAUUCUUUUUUUUCUUUUCUCUCUUGUCCUGGGUGUCUUCAGUACUAAAAGCUUUUGCGUGAAUGAGGCAGGACGGUCUUGGGGCAGAGGCAAUGUGGGAUGGCUCCGCCAGCGCCGUCUUUUGUACGACGUAUUUACCCAAACAUCUUCUAAUGCAAGUAUUUUCCGUUUUUAUAGUUUGUAAUGUUAACCUCUUUAGAAAAAGGGCAGCCAUCCUAAAAAGCAGGGAGAAAAGCUCACUGAAGUCCGAUCGCUCAUUCCCGUGGGCCGGUGCUGUGGAGCAUGGAGGGCGUGUGCGAGCCUGUGGGAACCUCACCUGUGAACGUUGCAGGUCCGUGCACAGGAAACGUCAAAGUUAUCUUAGUUGACCCCGUUCCCCAUGGAUCUCACAGUGCCAGCUCCAAAAGCAGGUGUCACCCUAAGGGUUUAUUUAGGAUGAUGCAGAAUCUUGAAUCCCUGCUGACUCACAGACACCUCUUCGUGAACGUAAUGAACAACUUAUCAAUACAUCUGAUGGCCUACAAAAGGUAAGAACACUGUUAUGGGAAGGGGGACCCUCCAGGAAGACAGCGGACCCCCUGGAAGAAUGAACUGGGACUCUCAGAAAGGAAAUGCCCCGACAUUAAAGGGGCCUCAUAAACUACAUCCAUCACUCACAAGGCAGGUGCUGCAUCCCUGCCAAAGGUGAGCUAAAGCGCCAGGCGCGUGUGGUCUGACUUCAUGGCUACGAACGCUGCACUUAGAAGGGGCAUUCUGAUGUUUUAGUUGCUUGUCCACCAUAAUAAGUGUCCCUCCUACCAUCCACACGACAGGUAGACCUGAGAAGUGUCUGAGGGAGUGAUGAGAGGACCCGUUCAUCUCAUCUAGGGUUUGCUGAGAAACACGAGAGAAUCAAGAACUCAGAGAGGUCUGUCACUCUGGCUCCAACCCCCCAGCCCCGCCCCGAAUGCCACCCUUGCAGAGAUAACUGCCCACCCAGCUCCUCCACGCAGAUGCCCAGCGGGCACCCUCAGAUCCCAUUGUUCGCCCUCUAAAAAUCAGCAGGAUCCAAGCACUCCUCGCCUUCUCCCUUGCUGUCUAUCGCCUGCCCCUGAAAUGCCAUCGUCUCUCACCGGGAUCAGGUCCCAGCCUCCUGACCACCCUCCCCGCUGCUGCCCCUGCCCCUUAAAACGUGGAAGUCAGGCCGCGGCGCUCCUCUGCUCACAGCCCUCCGCGGCCCCCACCUCCUCCAGAGCCCCCGGGACCAGGCCCCCACCCACCCCUGCCCACAGCACCCACCCCGCUUCUUGCGCUCCCUGCGCCAACCGCACGGGCCUCCUGCUGUUCCUGUGAACGCCAGACGCGCCCUCCCCCCAGCCCCCGCCCCGGGUGGGAUCCUCUCCCUCAGACGAUGCCAGCUCAUUUACUUCUCGGCGAGGCCUUCCCUGUCCACUCUGUCAACGGCACAUCCCAUCCUUUCAAACCCACGACCUUGCCUUUUAAAGAGAUUCACUGCCGACAUACAUUGAUCUACACAUGAACACUCAACAGUCUUUCCUCACUGGAACGUAAGCUUCGUGAGAAAACGUCACGUGUCUACUUCGUUCGCCGCCGUGCUCCUCACACUGGCGCCUACAGCCUGUCUCAGUACGUACAGCCGUCCUCGGUAUCCACGUGGGACUGGUUCCAGGACACCUGGCACGGACACCAAAAUCCAAGGAUGCUCAAGUCCCUUAUAUAAAGUGCUGUAGUGUUUGCACGUAACCUAUGCACACCCUCCUGUACACUUCGAAUCAUCUCUAGAUUACUUAUAAUACCUAAUACAAUGGAAAUGAUAUAUAAAUAGUUGCCUGGCACAGUUGCUUUUUGGAACUUUCUGGCAAUUUUUUCUCUUUCGAGUAUUUUCAGUCAUGGUUGCAGCCACGGAUGUGGAACCUGUGGAUACGGAGGGCUGACCGUAUGUGCCGAAUGACUGCGUGAGCCCAAGGAAACGGCCAGGAGGCAGGCGGCGUCUGCAGGCAAGUCUCCAGGUCGUCAGCAAUUAUGCUUCAACACUAGCUAAAUUUUGGCUUUGGAUCAGCAAAGAGGAAGAUAACACCUGUUUCUUCAAAAUAAACUCUUCAUAGAUAAAAAUAUAAAUAACAGAGUUAGGGAAAAACCUGUGAUAUGAAAUUUGAAUUGGAAAUAUCAACAUAAAUUCAAGUAAUUGAGAAACUUAUUAGGAAAAUUCUCAAGCAUAUACAGAAAAAACAGCAAAAUAAAGGUCUAAGCACCCAUCACUCAGCUCCUUGAUUCGCAGCAUGUGGUCCAACAGGCUUUCUCUCCACCAGCAACUACUCCCGGGACCCCAGCAUCCGUGAACUACUUCCGAGUAAAUCCUGUGUCAUCAGUAAACACUCCAGUAAGAGCUGAGGACUCUUGUAUAUUUUGAAUAAACACAAUAACACAUUCCCAACUGAUAAUCAGUCCUCUAUAUGUUCAAAUAUCCAGUCUUCAGGUUUCCCUGAUAGUAUUACCAUUUUGUUUACAUUUUAUUUACGCUUUGAUCAUAUGAAGAGACUCCCACGGGCCAAAUGUGUGAUAAUUUAAACAUCAGUGACUGAAAUUCAUUUCAACACACCGAAUAUGCAAAAAUCUAUGAAAAAGAAACAGUUAGCCACAACUGUAUGUGACUGCUACCCUGACUCCUUACUCUGGAAACUGGUCAUUGAAAAAGAACGAAGCGUUUAUCCUACCUCUUUAAGAAGAACUGUAAUCAUCCCUAGUUGAUGAAGAAAAGCGUCCUUUAGAGGAGAAUGCCAGCUAAUACAUGGAGAAGAAAAGUAAAAGUAAUUUGAAAACCACCAUUUUGCCACCUCCAAUCAAAUCACUGACUCAGGCAAGGAUGGAUGCAAAAAUCAUUAGGUAAAAAGCUGAUGAGGAAACAAGGUAUUCAAGAGGUGCCAAAGGGUGACCCAAAGAAUACUUCCAGACUGAAGCGGGAAAUGCGCGCUCUGGCCGUCACCCCGUAACAGAGGUCAGACUCAGCAUCCUGACAGUCUAACACUCACCUCUUCACGUGAUGGAUGGUCCUUCCGUGAAGCAGUCCUGCCAGAAAGGUUAAACCUGAACCGCGUCAAGCCUCUAGACUUAGCGUCUAGUUUCCAAGGAUACAAGGGCCAGACUAGAGAGGAAUGAAUGAGAUGACACUACAAGGAAACAGUCUGACAAGUCCAGACUGUGGGACAAAACCACUGCCCUCAAGUCUUAAAAAAAGAAAAGUCAGUGUCCCUGGGAACUUGAAUUAAAAGACUAUGGAGGGCUUCCCUGGUGGCGCAGUGGUUGAGAGUCUGCCUGCCAAUGCAGGGGACACGGGUUCGAGCCCUGGUCUGGGAAGAUCCCACGUGCCGCGGAGCAACUGGGCCCAUGAGCCACAACUACUGAGCCUGCGCGUCUGGAGCCUGUGCUCCGCAACGGGAGAGGCCGCGACAGUGAGAGGCCCGCGCACCGCGAUGAAGAGUGGCCCCCGCUUGCCGCAACUAGAGAAAGCCCUCACACAGAAAUGAAGACCCAACACAGCCAAAAAUAAAUAAAUUAAAAAAAAAAAAAAAAGACUAUGGAGACAUAUGGGACUUCCCUGGUGGCGCAGUGGUUAAGAAUCCACCUCCCAAUGCAGGGGACACGGGUUCGAGCCCUGGUCCAGGAGGAUCCCACAUGCCGCGGAGCAACUAAGCCCAUGUGCCACAACUACUGAGCCUGUGCUCUAAAGCCCACGAGCCACAACUACUGAGCCCACAUGCAACAAUUACUGAGCCCACAAGCCACAACUACUGGAGCCUGUGCUCUGCAACAAGAGAAGCCACUGUAAUGAGAAGCCCACGCACCGCAACAAAGAGCAGCCCCUGCUCACCGCAACUAGAGAAAGCCCACGCGCAGCAGCCCACGCGCAGCAACGAAGAACCAACAGCGGCCAAAAAUAAAUUAAUAAAUUUUUUUAAAAAAUUAAAAGACUGUGGAGACAUAAUCAUAAAAUUCAGUGUGUUUGAGAAAAAAGCAACCAAAAAGACAUAUGGGGGUAAAGGGAGAAAUAUCUGCAUAUGGGCUAGAUUCGUGAUGGAUUAGAUACUAUCAGAGAAGUAUUGUUAAUUUUCUCAACUGUGGAAAUGGCAUUCUUAGGAACUCCUUAGGGAGCGUGUCAUGACAUCUGCAGCUUACUUUGAAAUGGUUCGGCAGAAAAUAUAAAUGCAAUUAUGGCAAAAUCCGCAGACUCUAGGUUAUGGUUAUAUGAGUGUUUACUUAUUAAUCUUUCAACUUUUCUGUAUGUUUAAAUUUUUUUCAUAAUUAAAAAGGUGUUUUUUAAAAAGAAUCAACAACCUACAAGGAGGAAAAAGUUCACUAGUCAUGCCAAUAUGACUAUCCCAGUCUGUGUAAGUUGUACAUUUACUGUAAUUUAAUAAACGGGCACUCUGGCUUUAUAUAUCUUUAAAAAAAAAAAUUCCCUUCAUUAGUUGUAAGUCUGUGUCUAAGUGGAGCCUAUGUGCAAGGAACUUCACAAACUUAACGGCUGAUUUUUUUUUAAUGCAAAUUGCCUUUUUUUCUCCAUCUGGUUUUCAUCAAAUCAAGUCUAAAAG